rnacentral:rRNA from 1 species
UACGAAGGGUCCUAGCGUUGUUCGGAAUUACUGGGCGUAAAGGGCGCGUAGGCGGUCUACUAAGUCAGGUGUGAAAUCCCCGAGCUUAACUUGGGAAUUGCAUUUGAUACUGGUAGGCUAGAGUUCGAGAGAGGUGAGUAGAAUUCCUAGUGUAGAGGUGAAAUUCGUAGAUAUUAGGAAGAAUACCAGAGGCGAAGGCGGCUCACUGGCUCGAUACUGACGCUAAGGCGCGAAAGCGUGGGGAGCAAACAGG